GGCCGCCUUUUCCCUUGGAUUUUCCCCAUUUUUUCCCCAUUUUUUCCCCCAUUUUUUUCCCCAUUUCAUCCCCAUUUUUUCCCCAUUUUUUCCCCAUUUUUUCCCCAUUUUUUCCCCAUUUCCCCCCCAUAUUUUUCCCCAUAUUUUUCCCAUUAUUUCCCAACACUUUUCCCUGUUUUUCCAGGACCAGAACCAGCUGGACGUGGAGCUGCGGCGGGCAGCGCUGGCGCUCUGCCUGGGCCGCCUUUCCCUGGGUUUUCCCCAUUUUUCCCCAUUUCAUCCCCAUUUUUCCCCCCAUUUUUUCCCCAUUUUUUCCCCCAUUUUUUCCCAUAUUUUUCCCAUUAUUUCCCUGUUUUUCCAGGACCAGAACCAGCUGGAUGUGGAGCGGCGGGCA
rnacentral:lncRNA from 1 species